UACAGAGGGUGCAAGCGUUGUUCGGAAUUAUUGGGCGUAAAGCGCGUGUAGGCGGCUUUGCAAGUCGGGUGUGAAAGCCCUCAGCUCAACUGAGGAAGUGCGCCCGAAACUGCAGAGCUUGAGUGCCGGAGAGGAUGGCGGAAUUCCCCAAGUAGAGGUGAAAUUCGUAGAUAUGGGGAGGAACACCGGUGGCGAAGGCGGCCAGUCUGGACGGUGACGUGACGCUGAGACGCGAAAGCGUGGGGAGCAAACAGGG
rnacentral:rRNA from 1 species